UAUUGCGCAAUGGACGAAAGUCUGACGCAGCCACGCCGCGUGAGUGAGGAAGGCCUUCGGGUUGUAAAGCUCUGUCGCCUGGGAAAACCCCGCUAUCUGGGGAAAGUUCAGGUAGCGUGAUGGUACCAGGAAAGGAAGCACCGGCAAACUCUGUGCCAGCAGCCGCGGUAAUACAGAGGGUGCAAGCGUUGUUCGGAAUUACUGGGCGUAAAGCGUGCGUAGUCGGUAUUGAGAGUCGCGGGUGAAAUCCCAGGGCUUAACCCUGGAACUGCCUGCGAGACCUCAGUACUAGAGUGUGAGAGGGGAUAGUGGAAUACCCAGUGUAGCGGUGAAAUGCGUAGAGAUUGGGUGGAACACCGGUGGCGAAGACGGCUAUCUGCUCACAACUGACGUCAGGCACGAAA
rnacentral:rRNA from 1 species